CCUACGGGGGGCAGCAGUGAGGAAUAUUGGUCAAUGGGCGGGAGCCUGAACCAGCCAAGCCGCGUGAAGGAAGAAGGCGCUAGGCGUCGUAAACUUCUUUUGUCGGGGAACAAAGGUCUCCACGCGUGGCGUUGUGAGUGUACCCGAAGAAAAAGCAUCGGCUAACUCCGUGCCAGCAGCCGCGGUAAUACGGAGGAUCAGAGCGUUAUCCGGAUUUAUUGGGUUUAAAGGGAGCGUAGAUGGGUUUUUAAGUCAGUGGUGAAAGUUUGCGGCUCAACCGUAAAAUUGCAAUUGAUACUGGCAGUCUUGAGUGUAGUUGAGGUAGGCGGAAUGCGUGGUGUAGCGGUGAAAUGCAUAGAUAUCACGAAGAACUCCGAUUGCGAAGGCAGCUUACUAAGCUGCAACUGACAUUGAUGCUCGAAAGCGUGGGUAUCAAACAGGAUUAGAUACCCUUGUAGUC
rnacentral:rRNA from 1 species